GAGUUUGAUUCUGGCUCAGAACGAACGCUGCAGCGUGGAUUAGGCAUGCAAGUCGAACGUGAAGCCAAUGAACAAUCUUUCGGGAGAGUGAUUUGGUGGAAAGUGGCGAAAGGGUGAGUAACGCGUGGGUAAGCUACCCUGAAGUUUGGGACAACCCGCCGAAAGGCGGGCUAAUACCGAAUGUGGUCACUGGAUGCAUAUCCGGAUGACUAAAGGUGGGGAUCUUUCGGGACCUGCCGCUUUUGGCGGUGCCCGCGUGCCAUCAGCUUGUUGGUAGGGUAACGGCCUACCAAGGCUUACGGCUAGCGGCCUGAGGGGGUGACCGGCCACACUGGGACUGAGACACUGCCCAGACUCCUACGGGAGGCUGCAGUCGAGGAUCAUUCGCAAUGCGCGAAAGCGUGACGAUGCGACGCUGCGUGGAGGAUGAAGGCCUUCGGGUCGUAAACUCCUGUCAUGAGGGAACAGCCAUUCUACUCCUAAUACGAGUAGGACUCGAUGGUACCUCAAGAGGAAGCCACGGCUAACUCUGUGCCAGCAGCCGCGGUAAUACAGAGGUGGCGAGCGUUGUUCGGAUUUACUGGGCGUAAAGGGUGCGUAGGUGGUUUCGUGUGUCGGAUGUGAAAGCCCAUGGCUCAACCGUGGAAUUGCAUUCGAAACUGCGGAACUAGAGUGCAGGAUGGGAGAGCGGAAUUCUUGGUGUAGCGGUGAAAUGCGUUGAUAUCAAGAAGAACACCGGUGGCGAAGGCGGCUCUCUGGAAUGUCACUGACACUGAGGCACGAAAGCUGGGGGAGCAAACAGGAUUAGAUACCCUGGUAGUCCCAGCCGUAAACGGUGCACACUUGGUGUGGGGAGAUUUAACCCUCUCCGUGCCGGAGCUAACGCGUUAAGUGUGCCGCCUGGGGAGUACGGCCGCAAGGCUAAAACUCAAAGAAAUUGACGGGGGCCCGCACAAGCGGAGGAGCAUGUGGCUUAAUUCGAUGCAACGCGAAGAACCUUACCAGGGCUUGACAUAUACCUGCACGCCCCUCGAAAGGGGGGAAGCCUUUGAGGGUGGUAUACAGGUGCUGCAUGGCUGUCGUCAGUUCGUGCUGUGAGGUGUUGGGUUAAGUCCCGUAACGAACGCAACCCUUGUGGUUAGUUGCCACCGGCGGUGAUGAGCCGUCGAGCACUCUAGCCAGACUGCCCGUACAAGCGGGAGGAAGGUGGGGAUGACGUCAAGUCAGUAUGGCCCUUACGCCCUGGGCUGCACACGUGCUACAAUGGACGGUACAAUGGGCUGCAAUACCGCGAGGUGGAGCAAAUCCGGAAAACCGUCCUCAGUUCGGAUUGGAGUCUGCAACUCGACUCCAUGAAGUUGGAUUCGCUAGUAACGGCGCAUCAGCUACGGCGCCGUGAAUACGUUCCCGGGCCUUGUACACACCGCCCGUCACAUCAUGAAAGCCGUCUGCACCCGAAGUCGCUGAUCCAACCCGCAAGGGAGGAAGGUGCCGAAGGUGAGGGUGGUGAUUGGG
rnacentral:rRNA from 1 species